UGUAGCUGAUGUACUGAGCGAAGACAUCAUUAUGAAGUGGUACAAAGAAGCUCAUUCUUCCAAAGGGAAAACUGUCUUUUUAGAACAAAUGAAGAAAAUUGUAGAGUGGUUUCAAGAUGCUGAAGAAGAGUCUGAAGAGGAAGAUUAAUGGAGUGGUUGGGCUAUGUUAUCUUGGCAUUUUUUUGCUUCAGACCCCACCUAAAACCUGUACACCAGUUGGGUGCUCAGACCACCAACUAACAGAAAACAAUGGCUGAUAUUACAAAGAAAGGAGCAGAAUACCUGGAAUUUUAUGUUAGAACUUUUGAAACUGUCUGAAUGUCUAAAGUAGUUUUAUGGUUUUAUUACCGUUUCAAAAUGGAAUUUGUAUUAAUAUAUUAUUUUUGUAAGGUGGCUCUGAAUGCACUACUGUUCAUUGGUAAUAGGUUUACUUACAUUUUUGUCCAUCAUGUGCAAGAACUUCUGGAGCAACAAAUAAUGAAAGAAAUCAUAGAUGAGAAAUAAUUAAAGUAUGUGAAAAUGAAACGCUA